rnacentral:rRNA from 1 species
AAACUUUCAACAACGGAUCUCUUGGUUCUCGCAUCGAUGAAGAACGCAGCAAAAUGCGAUAAGUAUUGUGAAUUGCAGGAUUUUGUGAAUCAUCGAAUUUUUGAACGCACAUUGCG